rnacentral:lncRNA from 1 species
UGUGACUGGUGCUGAUGGCUGCCCCAAUUUCAGCCUGUUCAAGCCUCAGGGCACAGUGAGAUGUCAAUGUAGUGAUCAGCGUUCCCUGGUGGACUUUUCUGGACCUUGGGCCCACCUAAUGGUGCCAAGUUUCGGUGUCACAGAGGGCUGUGUCUGCAUAUGGGGUAGGAUAAGGAAUAAUUACCAUAUAAUUAUGAUCCAGGUAAAUGCUGCAGCCAACACAUGCCUGAGAAAGAGGGGUUCGUGGAGGGGAAAAGGGAAAUGGGAUUUUUAAAUUAGAGAUGGGUGGUCCUGGUGAUCAUACACUGAGCUGAAGAUCUGAAUUUACAUCCUUGUUAAUAUCUGGAGGGACUGUGACAGCCUGGGGGAGUGGACAGCAAGCCAUAGAUAAGGGGAGCGUGUGCAGUGGCUGCUGCAGCACCACUUCAGCAGGCCCUUUUGAAGUGCUGGAGCAGCGCUUUAGCAGCUGUUGUGAGAGCGGAAGAGCUGACACCGAUGCGGCUUUGGGACACGGCCACCAGGCGCAGCGGGUCUGCUCUGAAGAGAAGGUGGAGAGAAGAGGACAAAAGCUGAUGGUGGUGGAAGAGGCUUGCCCAUCCUGCCUUACACCCCUUUCCUGUCCCUUAGUACCUGUAGAGAACAGUCCAGGCAAGAGAACUGGAGCACUCAUCUAAGACUCCUCCAACAAGCAGCUUUCU